rnacentral:rRNA from 1 species
GACGAACGCUGGCGGCGUGCCUCAGACAUGCAAGUCGAACGAUUAAAGCUCUCUUCGGAGAGUGCAUAGAGUGGCGCACGGGUGAGUAACACGUAAGUAAUCUACCUUCGAGUGGGGAAUAACGUCCGGAAACGGACGCUAAUACCGCAUAAUGCAGCGGCAUCGCAAGAUGACAGUUGUUAAAGAUUUAUCGCUUGAAGAGGAGCUUGCGGCAGAUUAGCUAGUUGGUAAGGUAAUGGCUUACCAAGGCUACGAUCUGUAACCGGUCUUAGAGGACGGUCGGUCACACUGACACUGAAUAACGGGUCAGACUCCUACGGGAGGCAGCAGUCGGGAAUUUUGGGCAAUGGGCGAAAGCCUGACCCAGCAACGCCGCGUGAAGGAUGAAGUAUUUCGGUAUGUAAACUUCGAAAGAAUGGGAAGAAUAAAUGACGGUACCAUUUAUAAGGUCCGGCUAACUACGUGCCAGCCGCCGCAGUAAUAC